AGAUUUUUGAUGUGCUCUUUAGAGAGCCGAAUGCUUCGAAUAGCAUAUCGUCCAAUUCGUCGUCUGAGCACUUUUUCCGCCUUUUUUUUGAGCGCACACGAGCACCAGGAUCUGUCGUAUCGUCAUAGGUGGAGGAGAUAGACAUGGCUUCCGUGUUCGCACACGACGAUUGACCACGUUGACGCCGCGUUCCCUGCGCUUUUGGGUAAGAUUCCGCCAUCAUCCAAGAACACCUCCGGCAGGUGUGAUGACCACCAUUUACAAUGGAAAUUUUGCAAAGAAGAAAAGGAGUGGUCACCCUUCCUUCAGGGAUAGACUCGAUUCCGUAUAAGACGUAAUUUUAUUAAUUUACGACUUACACUUACACGGAAUCAAAUCUUAUCACUGGAGGAGGGGCUAUAAGAUAUAAUUGACUGAGCACUCUGAUCUUCACCCUUAAAGUGAAGAUCCAAGUAUUUAGACAAUUAUACCUGCUGAAAAACUGUGGGAGAGCGUAAUUAGAAAACUGACAAUUUAAAAGUUAGCAUUCGUGCGUUUUGAUCUGAGGAAUUUAAAUCUAACAAGUGAAUAAAAAAACAAGAGGCUAGAAAAGAAUGGCGUUUUUACAAUUUAUUCAAAGAAAAUUAAAGUUCUCCAAGAGGUGGAUGUAAAAAUUCAUUAAAUUUUCUGAGGGAAAAUUGAUAAUUUCCCUCUGAAAAUUGUGCAGCAUGUAUUUUCUGUGAGAAUCCACUCCGCAAAAUUCUCUACAGAAAACAUCUUUAAAUUCUUCGACAGAAACGGUCUCAUAACCCGUUUCAUUACGAUUUGUGCUUGGCGCCACACUGAAAAAAAUGGUAUGCUGUUUUAGCACCUAGUAUGUCAAAAAUGUGUCUGGUGAUCCUAUAAUGCUGCCUUGAUUGCCCACGCAGUUGAAUUUACAUUCAUAGGAUGUAAAGUUAACUGCCGGGGCAGUAAAGGCUGCAUAUCGGGAUCACCAGACACAUUUUUGACAUUCUAGGUGGUAAAACAGCAUAUUACUUUUUUCGGUGCACAUAUCCUGCUGCUCCUGUGUAAUAUUGGUUAAUCCUCCGCUGGACGUUAUGUCGACGAACUCCGCCAUCAGUCUCGGAAUCGGUAGCAGUCCCAGAGGAUGUUCCAGAGUGAAAUCUUGUAGGGCUGACAGGAGGGGUGAUUGGUCGAUGAACGUCUGGAUCGUUUGGCACUGAUCUGGAGUUUUCUCCUGCGAAGGACCCGCCACUGGCGCCGAGCAUGCAUCCUUUGCAGCGAUCUUGUCUGCUGUCGACACGUUUUGCAACAUUUCCGAUUCCGGAGACGAAUUCCGGAUCUUCUUCCCUUUCUUGGUUGACAUCUUCAGCACAAAUAACAGAUCCUCAGGUCAUUCAGUCAGCAGAGUUCCAGACCAUAUGCGUCUCAAUUUUACUUCUUGACAUUUAACACAUUUACUAGUUGUUUCUGCAUAAUUGAAAAAUUGUAUUUAUACAUUCUUUAAAUGUCAAAUUUUUGCAUUAUCUACGCUUUCGACCCAUCCAUAUCCGUUAUGUCCAUACCUAUGCAAGGAACUUCCAACAUCAUUUCAGUAUGUUGAAAAUUACAGUAUUUCAUUACGUC